UGAGGGCGCAGCCCCCUCCAGGGGCGGCCCGGCCCCGCCCUGGGGACGCCGGGCGCCAAUGGGGCGGGAGCUGCUGCUGCAGUCGUGAUCCCCUCGUCUCGUCAUCCCCGCGCCCUUUCUCAGGAGGUAGUGGAAUGUGGCUGCCUCGGGUUCACGCAGUGACCUCAGGACAACCCCAGGGAAAACGCGUUCCUCGGGGCACGAAGGUUUCAUCCUCUUUUCAGUCAUAAACGGUGGAAUUAAAAAAAAAAAAUUCUGCCUUGUUGACUUCAGAAUCGUCAAGCACUUUAUGUGAAGCGUGCCCUUAAGCUAUCCUCUACAAGACCCAGAUUUGAGUGUCUGCAUGAUGAAGAUGUGAAAGAAGAAACUGAGCGAUAUUGAACAUCACAGAUGAGAUUGAUAAGGAAUAUGGCUCUUACCAUUGGGAAGUAUUUAGGGGUACUGAAGAAGGAUCAGAAAUUGUUCUAUGAAAGGAAGAAGGGAGGACAAAGCAAAGACUGGAAGAUUUGGAAACCCUGAAAACAGACACCAGAUAUUUGCCAUGCACAACAAAAAGAGCAAAAGGGUUGGGCAGCAGCUCUGAUGCCUGAUUAAGGCUGUUGUAUGUCUAUACUGUACAUUAUAAAGAGCUGAUAACCAUAUAUUAGUGACUGGUGUUAAGUUGAUCUUUUGCAUGUAAUGUGUUAUUCAAGCAGUUUCCCCAAUAAUGUGACACAUGUUUAAGGAGACCACAGGAAAAAAAAGACUAGUGACCUUUCUGUCCUUCAGCAGAUAAAAAUUUUAUCAUACCUUUUCUAUUUCUUUAUUCUAUAUUGACAGCUUGCCUCCCCAUGUGGUCAAGUUCUCCUGAACGAAUUUUGAUUUUGUAGAGUUACUACCAAAGCUGUAAUCACAGCUGGGUUGAACACCAUGCCUCACCAGCCCAAGGCAACUCAAAUUCAUUGUUUCGUGGGACCCAGUGGCAAACAUAAUUUACAGCAUCCCUGACCCUGUUGAAAACACUCCUUUUUUCCUGACCUCUUUCAGUUUGAAGAAGAUAAAAGCUGUCACAGUUCUCUUCAGGCAGUAACUUUUCAAUAGCCAUUGGUGAAAAGCACUAUAUUUAAAGUUCUGUGCUUUCUUAUAUGGAACAACGUAGACUUUUGGGGAAUUACACAAUCCUUUUGUAAAGUUCUUUCUCACUAAUCUACAGCUCUGCUAUUAAAGGUAUCCUUGGAGAGAUUUAGGAAAGCAAUUGUUUGCUCCACUUCAAAUUAAAAGAAAUAAAGAAAAGGACGUGAAUUCAGCACUGUUAUUAUCUCAAUAACAGGAGUGGUAUAUACUUUGUCAUAAAUAUAUUUUCUUGUGUUGGAGUGGGCAACAAUUUUUUUUCUCCUAAAAAUAACCUUCACUCUUUUGCACAGCUCUCCUCUGGCCUGUAGGUGUCAUAGUCAGAAUAUGGAUGAAAUAGAUAAAUAUUAGUCUACUUACAUGAAAUAACUUUCUGAAAAGCAAUGUUGUUGUUAGAUAAGCACUGUUAUUUAUUGAAACUUUGUAAGUGGAGAAACAACUCUAGUAUGUAGACAAUAUAUGGAUUUCACUGCACAUUCUCUAUCUACGAAGAUGAAGGUUCUCAUGUUUCUUGGGUAAAAAACCAUUUUUCUCAAAAUUCUUAACUUGAUGCCUCCAGCUCUGAACUUGCCUGUCUUGAUCCCGCUCUUUGUCCAUUUUUCCUUUCACCCUUGCUUCUUAAUAUCUAACUCAGAUAAGACCCAGAGAAGUGACUGAAAAUAUUAAAGAGCAGCAUGUUCCUAUGCUAGGAGUAGAGUGUUGGACUGUAGGUGUAAUAAAGCCACAGGAUGAAGCACCAGUGAAUGCUUGGGAAAGCUGCCUGGCCAGUAUGGUGGUCAGGACCAAUUCCAUGAUGGAGUGAUGGCAACAGCAAUGGAAGACCGACAGAUGUCAUCUAUCAAGACUUCUGUAAGGCCUUUGACAUGGUACCACAAGAUAUCCUUAUCUCCAAAUUGGAGGGACAUGGAUUUGAUGGAUGGACUCUCCAGUGGAUAAGGAAUUGGCUGGAUGGACGUAGCCAGAAAGUUGUGGUCAAUGGCUCUAUGUCCAGGUAGAGGUCAGUGAUCAGUGGUGUCCCUCAGGGCUCUGUCUUGGGAUGGUGCUCUUUAUCAAUGAAAUAGUGAGAUCAAGUGCACCCUCAGCAAGUUUAGAGAUCUGUGAACCUGAGCAGUGCAGUUGGCACAAUAGAAAGAUGGGCAUCCAUGGGACAUGGACAAACUUGAUAAGUGGGCCCAUAGAAAUCCCAUUAAGUUCAACAAAUCCAGGUACAAAGUGCUGCCCCUGGGUUGGGGCAAUCCCAGACAAGAGUCCAGACUGGGAGAAGAACUUGCUGAGAGCAGCCCUGCUGAGGACUUGGAGGUUCUGGUGGAUGAAAAGCUGGACACAAGCCAAGGAAUCCACUUGCAGCCCAGAAGGCCAAUGGUAUCCUGGGCAUUAUCAAAAGAGGGGUGGCCAGCAAAUCAAGGUAGUUGAUUGUCCCCCUCUACUCUGCCCUCAUGGGACCCCACUUCACCAUGCACUUUACUCCUGACUGUUACCCAUUAAUCAGCUCUAACACAUAGAGCACCAUGUGCUGGGAGAUUAUGAGAGUUUUGCUUGUUUUCUAAGACACCUCCAUCCCAGACACUAGAUAUGUCUGCCAGACACUAUAUGCUAUUAGGAGGAAACUGGAAGGGGGGUUGCCUUGUGGUCUCUUAUUUCAGUCUGUUGGUGGGCAGUCUGGUAAGAAAGUGGUGCUGAAACUUACUGUGUACCUUGCCACUGGCACCGUGCUUGAAUUGCUGUUGAAGGUAAAGGUGCUCAAAGUCAGCUAUUUAAUUGUGAAAGAGCGGGACAUAAGGCUACUACCCAUCAUUUACAAUGGAAAGAAUAUUAGUUUAAGUUUUGGAAAUCUGGGGUUAGUUCUGGAUAUACCCACAAAGCUCGCAAAUUGUUCUGAUAUACACAAGUCUGAGUUUUGUAGAGAGUUUUAUUUUUCUUAUUGCUCAAACUAAUA